CCAUCCCAUAAUUUAAAACUAUAUUCUGACAUUAGUUCUUAUUGUUUUGGAUCCCAGACCGCUGUCAGAACAGAAACAGCUGACUCCAAUGUGUCCACAUACUUUUGUCUGUAUCGUGCCUAACCACCAAACAGAGAAGUGA